CUUUCAACAACGGAUCUCUUGGUUCUGGCAUCGAUGAAGAACGCAGCAAAAUGCGAUAAGUAAUGUGAAUUGCAGAAUUCAGCGAAUCAUCGAAUCUUUGAACGCACAUUGCGCCCCCUGGUAUUCCGGGGGGCAUGUCUGUCCGAGCGUCG
rnacentral:rRNA from 2 species